GGGAAAUGACUCAGUGGUAGGGCACUUGCCUAGCAUACAUGAGGCCCUGGGUUCAACUCCAAGAAUCUCA
rnacentral:tRNA from 1 species